AAAAACUCAAAAAGUGAUGAUAAAUAUGUGCAUUAUUUCGCAAGAUAUUAAGUCUUCCAAACUUUGAAAAAUACACAGCAAUUCACAAAAGGUCCAAAUGGACAGGUGUGGCUGAAGAUGGCAGAGCUGAAGCUAUGUCUUCGACCUGGAGAUGGAAACUGCCAGGAGAAAGUGGCAGAGACACGAGGUAGAAGGAGCCUGGGUGUCCAACUCCGUGGAGUCAUCAGGAAAUCCAUGCUGAAAGGCAUCAGGUUUGAAGAUAAAUCUGGGAGAGGAAGCCUGUGGGCAGGAUGCCAUUCCCUGACUAGAGAUGGUAAGAACCUCAACUUCAGGCUAUUGGGAAUGAAGAGAAGGGAAUGUAGGUAAGCAAUUGACAAGAUCUUGGUGCCUAACUGGCGGUAAGAGAAGGGGAUUCUGGAUGACUCCCUUACAGGGUAUCUCCAGACUUUUUGCCUGAAGUGUAUAUAAGUUUAGGGACCUCCUUUGGGAAAAAGAAUUUUUAAAAUGAAUUAAAAAAUUAAGUGCAAGGUUCUGAAAGGGGUCCAUGGAAGUGAGGGGGCCCUUCUAAUGUACACCUGAGGAAGAAGAGCACGUGCAGAUGACAUGGGCAUCGUUUUAUUUGGCCUGCCAACAUCCUUUUCCUCUGGGGUUAUGCGUCUCCCCUUUCUCAGCUCCUGUGGUGAUGGAGGAGCUGCCUAAUCACCUUCCAUACCAUCUCAGGCCCACACCUGCCAGUCAGGGCUUUUCUCCCUGUGGGUAAGAGAUUGCUGUGGAGAGGGGUAGGUGACCCAAAGCAGGUCGGUGAGACUCAGUUCUGGGACUUUUGUUGGAACUGUUGGGAAAUGGUUCAUUUUUCUAUUAUGACUUUUUUUUUCCUUUUCUUUGUGGCUACUGAGAGGUUAGGAUGUAAGCCUGAACCUUCUGGUGGUAAAUCUGACACCAAAAGGGAAGAGUCAGUGGAAGAGAAGAGGUAUAUGGAGAUACACUGGCUUGUGAUACACUUUGAUUGAGCCCCUGGGUCCAGUCAUGCCUAAAGUUAGAACGACUUCAGCCAUUUCUGUCAGAUGAACCAAUUAAGCCCAUUUUUUGUCUAUGUCACUUUGAGUUAGUUUUCUGUCUGCUCUAACCAAAAUAUGCAGCUUCUGUAUCUGUUCACCAAAAAGAACAAUGGUGGGCCCUGCUUGGAUCACGUGCCUCCUUGGACCCAGUAACCAUGCCUCGGGGGGAUAGGGCAAACCCUUUGACAAGUCGGCCACGUGAAAGCCUCUGGUGGGGAAGGAGGUGGCUCUGAGAUUGAGAGACUGACAGUAUCCCAUGAAGUGAGUGGUGGGUACUCCCCAGAUGAAGCCAGAAAUUUUUAAAAAGGAGUAGAUGCGCCUUACAAGGGUGAUUUUAGAUUCUUGAGGGAUCUAGGAAGUUGGUUCUUCAGAAAUCAUCCUAAAGCAAGCCCAGUUUCAAAUCCUAAUUUUGCUCUCUAUUAACCAUCUGCU